rnacentral:misc_RNA from 1 species
GAUGAAGAACGCAGCGAAAUGCGAUAAGUAAUGUGAAUUGCAGAAUUCAGUGAAUCAUCGAAUCUUUGAACGCACCUUGCACCCUUUGGAAUUCCAAAGGGUAUGCUCGUUUGAGUGUCAUUGUACUCUCACACUCUCCGAUCCUUUGGAUUUGGGGAGCGGUGGACUUGGGUGUUUGCUGCUUUACCGUGGCUCACCUCAAAUGGAUUCGUGCAACUCCUGGUUGGACAUAGUACGGCGUGAUAAGUGUCUUCGCCGGCACCUCACUAGAGGGUGGCUGACCGGGAGCUCUGUGCUUCAAACCGUCUUCGGACAACAACUGACAACUUGACCUCAAAUCGAGUAGGACCACCCGCUGAACUUAAGCAUAUCAAUAAGCGGAGGA